UCGAGUAGGGCCCAAGCCAGCCAGGAAGGAGGAGGCAGCCAGAGUGUUCUCUGCAGCAGAAGACCUCUUGCUGCCCUGCUUAACCCAGACCAGCAUUUGCCAGGUAAAUGAAACAACUUUUUUUCAAAGAAAAGAAAGCUGAAAAUUCAGGGGAGGAUAAAUGUAAUAGUGGCUAGGCUGCUACAGACCCCGCCCUCUGCUCCAAAGUCCGCUACUCCCAUCUCUACACGUGUUCUUCUGAAAGGAUCUUUUCUGUGUCUAAACCUAAAGAGCAACAUUUCUGUUCUGCCACUCAUUUACGCAUGCAUUCUGGCAAAACACUGAUUUCAGACCCCAGCCUACAGGCAGAUUGGCUAUUAAAACACACACACACACACACACACACACCCCUUCAGACAUUGGCUCCCCCUGAGAAAAUGUUAGCCAAUCAGCCCUGACUAUUAGCAAACAAGGAGUUUAACAUAGGAUGGUUCCAGAACAAUCUUAAUGCCAUUGCUAUGUGGAAUAUGAGAUGCAAAAUGAGUUUAAAUAUAAGAAAAAUAAAAACUGUUGACAGAAAGGAGCCAAAGGAAAAUAUGCCAGAAUAUGAAAGCCUCAAAAAGCAGAACAACUUCUAUGCAAGUUUAACACAAUUGGCACCUCACUGAAACAUAAAUCCCUCUUUUGUUCUGAAAGACUAAAGCACCAGAAGAAAAACUGGUCCACCAACUAGCUAAUCAUUGCAGCUACCUUACUGAUCAUUGUCCUAACCAAAAGGGGAAGCAUAGUUUAUUUUCAAAGCAAGAAAUGAAUGGCAGCUGUGCAGAGUUAGGAGGCUGAAGGGCCGGCAGGGAGGGCUGGUGCCUGUGGAUUGUCUUCCUCCAUCACCAAAGUGCCUUAAGACAGCCCUGCAAACUUAAAUCUGGCUGUCGAUAUGUACACAGUAUAGGCAAGAAGCAACUAUAUCAAGGAGCAUUAACAAAAGACCCUCAAGUCAAGACUCACCUGUUCUCACAGGCUUUUAGUUAGAAUUAAUUUUAAUAAUUUGUUUUAAUAAUUGUUUUAUGUUACUGUUUUUAUGCUGUUUUAAUUAUUUUGUAUUGUUAUCUGUGCUGAUGUCUAAAUAUUAAUUUAAAUUUUGUACACUGCCUAGAGAUGCACAUAUCAGGCAGUAUAAAAAUAUGAUAGAUAGACAGACAGACAGAUAGAUAGAUAGAUAGAUAGAUAGAUAGAUAGAUAGAUAGAUAGAUAGGACCUCCAAAGCAGACGUUUUUGAGGUGAAGCAAUGAAAUACAAGAAGGCCAGAUUGCAUAGAGAAAUCAACAAAGAAUGUUCUGUGGACACAUGUCUCAUCCACUCAUCCUCCUGAAAUAUCUCACAGCAUAGGGCACAGAUCACAUGGCAUUUAUUCCAUGAAGAACUCAUGCAAUGCAUCUGAUCCCAACCGCUCACAUAUAGGAGGCUUCAGAGACAUUAUCCCCACAUCCCUCCAGACAGCUGAGGAGACUGUCCAUGGGAUGGUUAAUCAGAGGUGCCCCAAGAGGAGAAGCUACUUUCUAUACCCUGAGGAGGCUAACCACAGCUAGCAAGAGGUACCUCAGGGAGUGGUUCCUACUGCAUGGCUAUAGCUCCAUCUGUGCAGGCAGCUACUGUGUGGAUGUGCUCCUAGUAAGAGACUCCAGUGGAGGUAGGAUAAUAACCAGUGACUUCAAUAUAUGUCUAAUUUAAUAAAAUACAAUUAGCUGCUGCCUGCUAGAAAAAACAGAGAAGGGCAUGAGUGAAGGGAGAAAUGUAUUGGAAGAAAAAAAGUUUGACUAUCACAUUCCUACUGAACCUUAUACAAAAUGGGAAAUGGUUUUUCUGAUCUUGGCAUCAGAUUUUAGUUACUGGAUUGUACUUCUAUAUAUUCUGAUCAGGAAUGAAGUUGCUGUACUAGAAUGGGUGAAUGAGGACGGCCUACUUUUCAAGACCACAGACCACAAUUGCCCUGGAGGACUGAUUCAUUACAACACUUCAUCUGAUCAUAUGGAGCAUGCAAGAUGGAAACAUAAUAUGACAUUUCUAUGGAUUACAUUUAGGGUUAUACCCUUGUUAUUGCAUACACAAAAGAUCCUCAGAUGCACAUUUGGAUGUACUUAUCAUGGGAAAAUGAGGAAACUCCUAUAUACAGCUUUUCUUGAGAAUGGAGUCUCAGUUUCUUGGAGUGCAUCCAAAAUACAUCAGCGGUAAAGCAAUGAGAUUAAUGAGAAGGCCUCUGUAUGCCAUAUGAGUCCUGAACCAAAAUGCAAUAAAACUAUAGCCCCCCCAC